rnacentral:rRNA from 1 species
AUGUACGCGCUGAGACAUAUCCUGGGCUUCUUUCUGGGAGCGGCGAUCACGGCGGCCUUUGUGGCGCUAUUGCUGCCGCCUUCUCCUUCUCCUUCUCCUUCUCCUUCACCGUGCCCGUGCGGGCGCACGCCGCCGGCAGAUCACAAGCUGGCGUCAUUGGACCAAGCUGCUCCGAAGAAGCUCGAUACGGGGGUGAACAAUGCUGCACGGAAACCGGAAGAGGACGACGACGAGAAGCUCGCGGAGCUGCUGCGGAGCGCGGCCAUGGACGACAACACCAUCAUAAUGACCUUCACGAACGAGGCGUGGACGGCGCCGGGGUCGCUGCUGGACGUGUUCCUGGAGAGCUUCCGCAUCGGCGUGAGGACGGAGCCGCUGCUGAAGCACCUGGUGAUCGUGGCGGUGGACGGCAAGGCGUUCGAGGGGUGUCAGCGCGUGCACCCGCUCUGCUACCGCCUGGCGUCGAUGGUGGACUUCGCGGCGGAGAAGUCGUACAACACCCCGGACUACCUGGACAUGAUGUGGGCGCGGAACAAGUUCCAGGCGCGGGUGCUGGCGCUGGGCUUCGGCUUCGUGUUCACGGACGUGGACAUCGUGUGGUUCCGGAACCCGCUGCUGCGCAUCCCGGUGGGCGCCGACAUCGCGCUCAACUGCGACUGGUUCUACGGCGACAACCCCUACGACCUCAACAAGACGGCCAACGGCGGGUUCCUCCACGCCAAGCCGCGGGCGCGGACGCAGGCCUUCUUCGCGGACUGGUACGCGGCGCGGACGCGGCACCCGGGGGAGCACGACCAGUUCGUGUUCGACCAGGUGAAGCACGAGCUGGCGGCGCGGCACGGCGUGACGGUGCAGUUCAUCGACACCCAGUACCUCAGCGGGCGGUGCGAGCCCCGCAUGGACUUCCGCAAGCUGUGCACGUUCCACGCCAACUGCAUCAUCGGGCUGCAGUACAAGCUGGAGUAUCUCACCGGCGUGCUCGACGAGUGGAAGCGGUUCAAGGCCCAGGAGGAGCUGCUCGGCACCAACAGCACCGCGCUCACUUACUGA